rnacentral:rRNA from 1 species
UACGUAGGGGGCAAGCGUUGUCCGGAAUCAUUGGGCGUAAAGCGCGCGUAGGCGGCCAGAUAAGUCCGGUGUGAAAGUCACAGGCUCAACCUGUGAAUGCCGCUGGAAACUGUCUGGCUUGAGUCCGGAAGGGGUGAGUGGAAUUCCUGGUGUAGCGGUGAAAUGCGCAGAUAUCAGGAGGAACACCAAUGGCGAAGGCAGCUCGCUGGAACGGUACUGACGCUGAGGCGCGAAAGCGUGGGGAGCGAACAGG